GAUGAACGCUAGCGGCAGGCCUAAUACAUGCAAGUCGGACGGGAUCCAUCGGAGAGCUUGCUCGAAGAUGGUGAGAGUGGCGCACGGGUGCGUAACGCGUGAGCAACCUACCUCUAUCAGGGGGAUAGCCUCUCGAAAGAGAGAUUAACACCGCAUAACAUCAACAGUUCGCAUGUCCGAUUGAUUAAAUAUUUAUAGGAUAGAGAUUGGCUCGCGUGACAUUAGCUAGUUGGUAGGGUAACGGCCUACCAAGGCCACGAUGUCUAGGGGCUCUGAUAGAGGAAUCCCCCACACUGGUACGGAGACACGGACCAGACUCCUACGGGAGGCAGCAGUAAGAAAUAUGGGUCAAUGGGCGGAAGACUGAACCAGCCAUGCCGCGUGCGGGACUACUGCCCUAUGGGUUGUAAACUGCUUUUGUACAGGUAUAAACCUCUUGACGUGUAGAGAGCUGAAUGUACUGGAAGAAUAAGGAUCGGCUAACUCCGUGCCAGCCGCCGCAGUAACAC
rnacentral:rRNA from 1 species